rnacentral:lncRNA from 1 species
CUCUGCUCCCCUCGGGGGCCUGAGCAUCCCUCCUCUGCCUCGGCACCCGCCAUUGUUUCCUGCUCUCAGCGCGUCGCGCCUCCCACGGCUCAGCUGGGCCUUGCCGGUGCUUCGCUUUCGUUUUUGCCCUCAUUCUUCAUGCCAGCAGGGCCGGCUGGCCUCGGCUGCCUUCCCGAGCAUCAAGGGGGGGCCCCAGCGGCGCGAAGGCUCCGUUUCCUCUUCGGCGGCCGGCCCGGACUCAGGGCGCCCGCUUCCCACAGCCCCACCGACGUCGGCUCAGACGCUCUUGGGCUGUCGUGCCUUUCCGGCGGGUCUCGCUGGGCCGGGCUCAGCACUCUGCUUGAACAGCUUCCGGGCAGAAGUGGCCAGUGCGGAGACCGUCCUUGGAGGACCACCUUCCUCCCUCGUCAGUCCGGGCGCUUCUUCCUAGAACUGAAUGUCGGGGUUUCUCCGGCCUUCCCUUCCGUCUCAGAGUCCGUCCUGCCUUUCAGUUCCAAGGCAAGAGCGGUGGGGCCGGGCUGUGGGGGUGAGGGGGCUGGCCCGGCGUCACCCAGCUGGGGAGCGGCUGAGGCCAGACUGGAACCCAGGACCUCCCGCCUCUGGGCCGCCCAGCCGCCGCCUCAGCUUGCUGUGGCUUUCCCGACCCGUUUCUCUCCCCUUAAAGCCGGUGUUUACCAAGGCCGACUUCCUUCUGGUUCCACACGCUCGGCAGGCCUCUACUUCGCGCCCGCCGUCUUCUCGUUGCUGACGAGAGGGCACAGGGAUCGCUGGCGGCUGGCCGAGGAGGGCUCCUGCUAUCCCGGCUCGCAAAGAGUCCGGCAUGGCAGCUUCGCAGGCAGCGCUGGGCUUCCCGUCCAAGGCUUUCAGUCCACAAGCUGGGGGGCCUCCUUGCCUUUGAGUCGAUGGCCGCCCGCCAGCCCCAAGUCUGCCUGUCCCCCUCUCAAACGUCGCCCCGCGUGUCCGUCUGGUCACGGGCUCGGCCCCCGCCGGAGAGACAGAGCCGGAGCUUCCCCAAGAACGAAGGGUGGCCGAGCGCGGGCGGGGGAGGAAGCCCGGCUGGACACUGGACGAGCUGCCACUGGAGGGGCUCGAGAGAGCCGCCACACCACGCCGGGGCCGGCCAUGGCUGGAGGGAGACCACUUGGGUCUCUCGGAGCUGGAAGGAGCCGUGAG